rnacentral:tRNA from 1 species
GCCCGGUUAGCUCAGUCGGUAGAGCAUCAGACUUUUAAUCUGAGGGUCGUGGGUUCAAGUCCCACAUCGGGCU